UCCGUAGGUGAACCUGCGGAAGGAUCAUUACCGAGUUGAUUCGGGCUCCGGCCCGAUCCUCCCACCCUUUGUGUACCUACCUCUGUUGCUUUGGCGGGCCGCGGUCCUCCGCGGCCGCCCCCCUCCCCGGGGGGGUGGCCAGCGCCCGCCAGAGGACCAUCAAACUCCAGUCAGUAAACGAUGCAGUCUGAAAAACAUUUAAUAAACUAAAACUUUCAACAACGGAUCUCUUGGUUCUGGCAUCGAUGAAGAACGCAGCGAAAUGCGAUAAGUAAUGUGAAUUGCAGAAUUCAGUGAAUCAUCGAAUCUUUGAACGCACAUUGCGCCCUUUGGUAUUCCGAAGGGCAUGCCUGUUCGAGCGUCAUUACAACCCUCAAGCUCUGCUUGGUAUUGGGCACCGUCCUUUGCGGGCGCGCCUCAAAGACCUCGGCGGUGGCGUCUUGCCUCAAGCGUAGUAGAACAUACAUCUCGCUUCGGAGCGCAGGGCGUCGCCCGCCGGACGAACCUUCUGAACUUUUCUCAAGGUUGACCUCGGAUCAGGUAGGGAUACCCGCUGAACUUAAGCAUAUCAAUAAGCGGAGG
rnacentral:rRNA from 1 species